CGUGGGGUACGGAUGACAUUGUGAUAGGGUGUGAGGCGAAGAGAGUUCUGGGAGUUGAGGUAUAAAGACUUAAAAUCUGGCAAGAGGAAGAUGAGGUCAUGGUAGGAGAUAUGCUCACAGUCUUUCCAGAGAGACCGUCACCCUCUCCCCAAGGGGGCAGCCUGAUGUUCCAGGAGGUGGCAGCCACUCGUCCAGGUCAGAAAGCGACUGCCAAGAACUCACUGGACCUUGGAAGUCAGCCAGCUGCCAAUCUGUCAGCUUGCAUCCGGAGGGCUGGAGAAGAAGCGCUGUGUUAACUGUGCAACUCUGUGCUGCUGUGCACGCUCGAGAGAAGACAUUUGUUAAUGUAUGAAAAGUCCUUAGAACAAUGGAAUGAAGCUUCCAUGAAGUCAGCUUUCUCAGGUCCACAGCAAAUAUUUGGGGGAGUGGAGGUGGGGGCAGAACCCUUCAGGCAUUCAGUACAAGGUAGUGGUGUGUGUACGUGGGAGGCAGUCCCAGAUGUCAGAACCUGAAUUCAAAGCGCAUUCUGGCUGUAGUGGGUUGAACAGUGAACCCUCCAGAAGUUAUGUUGAUGUCCUAAUCCCUGGAAUGCUACCUUAUUUAGAAAAAAUAAGGUAUGCAGGUACGAUUUAGUUAAGAAUAUGAGGGCAAGAGUUUAUUCCUGGAUUUUCUGAGUGGGGCCUAAAUGCAGUCAUAUGUAUCCU
rnacentral:lncRNA from 1 species